rnacentral:snRNA from 1 species
AUACUUACCUGGCAGGAGAGAUACCAUGAUCAUGAAGUUGGUUUUCCUAGGGCGAGGCUUAUCCAUUGCACUCCGGACGUGCUGACCCCUGCGAUUUCCCCAAAUCUGGGAAACUUGACUGCAUAAUUUGUGGUAGUGGCGGACUGCAUUCGCACUCUCCCCUA